UGCUACUUUGCCGGCGAGCGGCGGACGGGUGAGUAAUGUCUGGGAAACUGCCUGAUGGAGGGGGAUAACUACUGGAAACGGUAGCUAAUACCGCAUAACGUCGCAAGACCAAAGAGGGGGACCUUCGGGCCUCUUGCCAUCAGAUGUGCCCAGAUGGGAUUAGCUAGUAGGUGGGGUAACGGCUCACCUAGGCGACGAUCCCUAGCUGGUCUGAGAGGAUGACCAGCCACACUGGAACUGAGACACGGUCCAGACUCCUACGGGAGGCAGCAGUGGGGAAUAUUGCACAAUGGGCGCAAGCCUGAUGCAGCCAUGCCGCGUGUAUGAAGAAGGCCUUCGGGUUGUAAAGUACUUUCAGCGGGGAGGAAGGCGUUGAGGUUAAUAACCUCAUCGAUUGACGUUACCCGCAGAAGAAGCACCGGCUAACUCCGUGCCAGCAGCCGCGGUAAUACGGAGGGUGCAAGCGUUAAUCGGAAUUACUGGGCGUAAAGCGCACGCAGGCGGUCUGUCAAGUCGGAUGUGAAAUCCCCGGGCUCAACCUGGGAACUGCAUUCUAAACUGGCAGGCUAGAGUCUUGUAGAGGGGGGUAGAAUUCCAGGUGUAGCGGUGAAAUGCUUAUAGAUCUGGAGGAAUACCGGUGGAGAACGCCGGCCCCCCUGGACAAUAACUUGACGCUUCAUGUGCUUAAAGCGUGGGGUAGCAAACUGCGAUUAGAAUACCCUUGGGUUCUUCCU
rnacentral:rRNA from 1 species